AUUGUACUGAGCACCCCCCCCCCACACACACACACACAUACACAUGUGUACACAGCUUACAGCACACAUAAUCAAAAGGUGAAACCUGACAGAAAAGCAUAAACUUCUGAAGAAAUAUGAUCACAUCAACAUGUUGGAAAAUACUAGCUUUGUGUGCAGGUGUCUGCACAGUUCAUUUCUCCACAGCCACAGAUGAAACUAUGAUAAUUAAGUCAGACUGCAAUCAAAACAUCACCCUGCCCUGCAACCCAGCUGCUUAUAGUCAUGCAUACACAUCCAUCACAUGGUACAAGGUUAAUGGAAGUGGUGAUGAGGGCAUUAUUAGGAGAAGACAUGGGAAUCUGGAACCAGAGCUGUAUCCAAGCUCUCGGAAUGUAGCAUCUCUCACAGAAAAAAAUGAUCUUGUCCUGAAGAAUGUCACUGUAAGACAAACGGGGCUAUACAAGUGCUCCCUAAUUGCAAAAGUUGGAAAAACAAAUAACCACUCUCUUGUCAUGCUGAAUGUCUCAGAAUGUGCUAGUGUAACAGCACCUGCUCUGCUCCUCGCUGCUGUGUUAGCUCCUCAAGCCACUGAGAUGCAGUGUACUGGGAUGGGGCACAUUAAACCGGAGGAAGUUACUGCCUUGUGGGCCUUUGUGGGUUUUAGCACUGUUGGAAUGAUUAAAGUUCUACUAUGUGCAGUGUAUCUGUGGGUGGUGGUAGUGUUUAAGAAACAUAGAAGAAGGAAGAUGUGGGAUUAAAUAAAGUCAUGGCAAAAUAGGCUAUUGAUUUUAUUGUAUUAUUGAUUGUAAUUAUUAUUAUUUGUUAUCUGAACAUAAUGACAAUGCAAAACAUUAUCAAAAUAAACCAUCACAAU
ensembl:lncRNA